UACCCGCUGRAAACUUAAGCAUAUCAAUAAGCGGAGGAAAAGAAACCAACAGGGAUUGCCUUAGUAACUGCGAGUGAAGCGGCAAAAGCUCAAAUUUGAAAUCUGGCGUCUUCGGCGUCCGAGUUGUAAUUUGGAGGGAUAUCUUCGGGGUUGGCGCCGUCCUAAGUUCCUUGGAACAGGACGUCAUAGAGGGUGAGAAUCCCGUGCCUGGAUGGCUGCCCAACUCCAUGUGAAGUGUCUCCGACGAGUCGAGUUGUUUGGGAAUGCAGCUCAAAAUGGGUGGUAAAUUUCAUCUAAAGCUAAAUAUUGGCGAGAGACCGAUAGCGCACAAGUAGAGUGAUCGAAAGAUGAAAAGCACUUUGAAAAGAGAGUUAAAAAGUACGUGAAAUUGUUGAAAGGGAAGCGCUUGCGACCAGACUCGAUCUUUGGUGAUCAGCCGGGCUUCGGUUCGGUGCCCUCACCAUUGAUUGGGCCAGCAUCGGUUCUGACGGCGGGAUAAAAGGAGGAGGAAUGUGGCUCCCUUCGGGGAGUGUUAUAGCCUCCUUCACAAUGCCGCCAGUUGGGACCGAGGACCGCGCUUCGGCUAGGAUGCUGGCGUAAUGGUCUUAAGCGGCCCGUCUUGAAACACGGACCAAGGAGUCUAACAUCUAUGCGAGUGUUCGGGUGGAAAACCCUUGCGCGUAAUGAAAGUGAACGGAGGUGUGAACCCUUUACGGGGUGCAACAUCGACCGGUCCUGAUGUCUUCGGAAGGAUCUGAGUAAGAGCAUAGCUGUUGGGACCCGAAAGAUGGUGAACUAUGCCUGAAUAGGGUGAAGCCAGAGGAAACUCUGGUGGAGGCUCGCAGCGGUUCUGACGUGCAAAUCGAUCGUCAAAUUUGGGUAUAGGGGCGAAAGACUAAUCGAAC
rnacentral:rRNA from 1 species